ACUUUUCCACGUAUCUUCUUCUUUGUAUAUAUUCAAUCACUUCCUCUCAACAAAUCAGAAAGUAAAUUGGAUUUCAAAGAAAGAGCCAGAGGAGUACUGCAGGGUGAAUAAGAGAGAAGCUCAGUAUAGGAGCAUCAAAUCCAUAGCUGUGACAUCGGAAUCCAGGACAUUCUAAUUCAAGAUGACCAAUCUAUUACUCUGGAUGAUUUCUGUUACCACUAUUGCUACUGCUUCUGGUCUCACUAUUGACGUAGACGGUCCGAUCAAUGGUCCGUGUUCUCUAUGUCCAGAAGGAGCUCCCGGUCCCCGUGGACCACCAGGAGACAUUGGCCUACCGGGAAGAGACGGUCGUGAUGGGAGGGACGCUUCGUGUAAUGGCCAACUAU